rnacentral:lncRNA from 1 species
UAGGAUGGCCUAAACCUGACCUCCACCUGAGUUAUGGAUUCCAAGCACUACCUCUCAGGACCAGUUCAUAUAGAAGAUCUUCUGGGUUUCCUGGACACAUGGUCUUUGUUUAAGACAAGAAGAACCUGUCAUCCAACUCUGGAAGAAGAGGCAAGCAACCCCAAACCCAGUAACGUUUAGUUGGCGAGCCACUUUUUAGAAGCAAGCUACCGGAUAAGGUAGCUCCCCGAUAACGUUAGGAGGCAAUGUAGAAGCUUGUUAUAAGCGAGGACUUUCCUUAUAUUAAGUCUUGGCUCCUUCAGUUCCUGGCUGUGCCAUCUUGGGCAAGUUACUUAACCUUUCUGAGUCCCAGUGUUCUUAUUUGUAA